ensembl:lncRNA
CUCAUGUUAUCAACAAGGCUGCAUGUACAUAGAAAAGUCUUCAUGUUAACAUUAUACAAACCAGAAAGAGGAAAACAUAUGCAAGUUUUAUUCCAAAACCUGGAGGGAAGAACUUCAUAAAUAAACACACAAAUGUAGUAAUUGCUAUUCUGGCACACUGCCGAUGGGUAAUUGGUCAGGGGUAAUUCAGCCUGCUAGAGGGGGUAUGUAAGAAGACCCUUGAGGGCCCCCGACAGACUGUCUGACAUGGAGCCCGAGCCAAUGAGGAUGUUUUCAGAGGAAGGGUCUCUAUGUAUGGAAAUAAAAACUGCUUUGUUUUCCUGCAUAGCGACAGUAUCCACUAAGGGGUGGACACAGGGAGAAAAUAGAUAUAUACAGACCCCUGCAAUAGAAACCAAGACAUAAUAUAAACCUGCUACUACCAACACUACUAGAAGUGACAGAAGGUAUGAGUGUCACAGCUGCAAAAGCUCAAACUGAUCAACAACCAAUCACGACAGAAAACAGCAACCGAGGCCGCCAACCAGAAGAAGCUGUCACAGAUUCAAACAGUGACACGCAUAAACAAAACUUUGAUUUGAAAGUUGAAAAUGGUGUGCUGAAAUACAAACUUCAGAAUGUAUCUGAAAUCCAACAGACCAGCAUGAAGGAUGAGAACAGCACUAAAAUCUGUUUGACUAUUAAGAGCCAUCGAGGAGGUUCACCUUCAGUGGAGAAAAAUGACCCAAAGCCAUUAACCACUGUACCAAUACAAGAAAAUGUGGUUUCACAUAAGGCAUGGUUAAAGAA